rnacentral:rRNA from 1 species
GAUGAACGCUGGCGGCGUGCCUAAUACAUGCAAGUCGAGCGAACAGAUAAGGAGCUUGCUCCUUUGACGUUAGCGGCGGACGGGUGAGUUACACGUGGAUAACCUACCUAUAAGACUGGGAUAACUUCGGGAAACCGGAGCUAAUACCGGAUAACAUAUUGAACCGCAUGGUUCAAUAGUGAAAGGCGGCUUUGCUGUCACUUAUAGAUGGAUCCGCGCCGUAUUAGCUAGUUGGUAAGGUAACGGCUUACCAAGGCAACGAUACGUAGCCGACCUGAGAGGGUGAUCGGCCACACUGGAACUGAGACACGGUCCAGACUCCUACGGGAGGCAGCAGUAGGGAAUCUUCCGCAAUGGGCGAAAGCCUGACGGAGCAACGCCGCGUGAGCGAUGAAGGUCUUCGGAUCGUAAAACUCUGUUAUCAGGGAAGAACAAAUGUGUAAGUAACUGUGCACAUCUUGACGGUACCUGAUCAGAAAGCCACGGCUAACUACGUG